GGAACAGGAGAGAGGCAGACAGAAGGGAGGACUCAAAGAAAAGAAGCCACUAGAAAUAGCCUUCCCUCUGGAGUGGGGAGGAAUCCAAAAAUCCCAGGAGCUGCCCAGCGGGUGUGACCUUAGCUAAUAAUAACAGGCCAGCGUUUUCUCACGAGAAAAAGGAUCAGCAUAGAGCACGGUGGAGGGAAAGAGAAGCUGCUUAGCCCCCACACCGCAAGGGGAAGAGAAGACAAUGAAAAGAGCAUAGUCAGGAAUCAGGAAUCUUUUGUGGUAUCAAAGCUGAACCUAAGUGAAGAAGCAAUUUUCUGUCCUCUGCCCUUGUCCAAAAGAACACCCCUCAGUUCCUGCUUCUUACUAAGCCGGUUGAGGGGCGUCAAGGGGCUGGACAGGACACCCCGCAAACUUUCCAGCCAUUCCUGCUGUUCCUUCUCACUGGGGCAAGUGAGGACAAAUCUCCGCUCUGGGGUGACAAUGGUGAGUCCGGCUUUCCAGCGAUUUCCUCGGAUGCCCUUGGGCAGGUCUUCGUAGGCUUCAUAUCCCUGCUC
ensembl:lncRNA novel transcript